UUAAGAUAGGAUGAGAGGAGAGGGAGACAGAGAGCUAGUGAGAAAGAGAGAAAGAAAGAUAUGUAAGUAUUAGUAGAGAUGGAGAAGGAAAUGAAUAGGAGGAGUAGAAAAUUAGAGAAUAAAAUGAUGAUAUAAUCAUGGUGAUGAUAAUUGAAAGAAGUUGAGGUGGAUUAGAGAUUAGAGUGAGUAGUUAGUGAUUAAGAGAAACCAUGGUAGAAAUAUUUUAAGAUAGUGUUGUAUGAGGAGUAGAAGAAAGAGUGUUCUUGAUGAUAUAAUUUGGUUAUGAAGGGUUCAUGAGUUUUUAUGAUGGAGAUGAUGGAAAUGAUGAAAACUUGAUAAAAAAUCAAGUUAGACUAUAUUAACAACGAUUAUUCGAAGAAUGAACCAGUGGAUCGAAGAAAUGCAAGGUAGGCGUGGCUUGUCAUCAAAUCAGGUGGGAACUCUGUAACCUUCUUGUAAUCAUUAAGUUUAUAUUAUCUGCGAGCAUGCUGAGUCUUUAAUUUCUGUAAGCAUAUUGUUUGUAAUUCAAUGGGUAUGUUGUGCAAUAUGCGUUGGGUGGUUUCCCCGCGAAGAGUGUCUGUGUUUCCCCAUAGCUCUUGGCUAAGUUUAGUAGGGCAAUGCUACGUUGUUUGAAUAUUACCUAGUAGCCCGGAUUUACCCCGGAUAAAUAUUAUUACAUUUUAUUGUCUUAAGAUAGUAGUCCGGCUUUACCCCGGUUGAUUAUUAUAUAUAUUAUUUUAUUUGG